rnacentral:rRNA from 1 species
UACGUAGGGUCCGAGCGUUGUCCGGAAUUAUUGGGCGUAAAGAGCUCGUAGGCGGUCUGUCGCGUCGGCUGUGAAAGCCUGGGGCUCAACUCCAGGCCUGCAGUCGAUACGGGCAGACUAGAGUUCGGUAGGGGAGACUGGAAUUCCUGGUGUAGCGGUGAAAUGCGCAGAUAUCAGGAGGAACACCGGUGGCGAAGGCGGGUCUCUGGGCCGUAACUGACGCUGAGGAGCGAAAGCGUGGGGAGCGAACAGG